CCCUUAGAUGUUCUGGGCCGCACGCGCGCUACACUGUUCGACGCAGCGAGUCUUAACCUUGACCGAAAGGUUUGGGUAAUCUUCAGCAAAGUCGAACGUGAUGGGGAUCGAUCAUUGCAAUUAUUGAUCGUGAACGAGGAAUGCCUAGUAGGCGCAAGUCAUCAGCUUGCGUCGAUUACGUCCCUGCCCUUUGUACACACCGCCCGUCGCUCCUACCGAUUGGGUGUGCUGGUGAAAUGUUCGGAUCGGCCGUUUGUCGCGGUUUCCGCGUCAUGUGGCUGAGAAGUUCAUUAAACCCUCCCACCUAGAGGAAGGAGAAGUCGUAACA
rnacentral:rRNA from 1 species